CAAAUCUGCCCACUUCUUUCAAGGUUGCAUCCUCCCUGUCCUCUGACGCCCUCGUCACACUGCUGACUUGCAAGGUGCCGAGCAGCGUGAACAGCAGCGCAGAGACGUGGAAGCUUUUCUUCCAGAAAGUCGCGGGAGUUCUGGAGGUUGCUCUGUCAGCGUACUCCAACAACACCCUCGGUGGCCAUCAGCCCGAGUCCCGUGUUCUCGAUGCCAUUGGAGAGGUGAAAGUCAACAACUUCAGCGCCGCACAACUGACAGAUGUCCGCUUCAUUACCGACUGGUUCCAGGGAAGGCUGAGACCAUUCUUGCCUGCAGUCUCCAGGGACUUCCUGUCCUGCCUUAGCUCCAAGAACUUCAGUUGCGACACCUACCAAGUUGUGGUGCAGGCUCUAAGUCGUCAAGCGUCCCUCAUGGAGGUGGGGCAACAACGGGUCGUCUUCACUGAAUUUGUCAGUCCCUUCCUCUCGAGAGACGACCUACCAGAUCCUGCCUGUCUUGCCAAUACUACGAGCAGCGCUGACUGGCUGGAGAAGAACUUUGGCAACUUCUCCGUCUACGCUACCUUGGAGGACUUGCAAAGGCUGAAUGAAAAUUUCUCCAGCUUUGCAUCCUUGGCGCUGCUGAGCCCUAGCCAAGUAGCUGAACUGACACUGAGCUCCGGAGCGCUGAACAACACCCAUCAGAUCGACGCUGUGUUCGACCGCCUGGAGAAUGGCAACGCUUUCAAGAACGUGGAGGAGUUUCUGACGGCUCUAACCGCAUCUCCUGAGGCAAGUCAAUGAAUCAAAGCGUUUGACAGAGGUCGCGUGGAAGCCAUGAAGACUAGCCCAAAGAACGCUACUUUCACGCUGUGCCAUUCACACUCCCGGUGUUUUAUCCCUGCAGAUUCCCGAUAUCACCCCCGCUGUGAGAGACGUGAUGAUGAACCGAACCUUCGGGAUCAUUGAACUGAAGCUCCCGGGAUUUGGGGCUCAUGACUGGGAAGUGUGGUUCACCGAGAAGCUCAUCCCUGUCCUCCCCAGUUUCACCGCAGGAAUGCUGCUUAAGGUCACAGCUGACAUCAACUGCACCAA
ensembl:lncRNA